rnacentral:tRNA from 1 species
GACAGAAUGGCCGAGCGGUCUAUGGCGCUGUGUUCAGGUCGCAGUCCUUCCAGGGCGUGGGUUCGAAUCCCACUUCUGUCA